rnacentral:rRNA from 1 species
UACGGAGGGUGCGAACGUUAAUCGGAAUCACUGGGCGUAAAGCGCGCGUAGGCGGUCUGUUAAGUGGGAUGUGAAAUCCCCGGGCUUAACCUGGGAAUUGCAUUUCAAACUGGCCGACUAGAGUACGGUAGAGGGAGGUAGAAUUUCCUGUGUAGCGGUGAAAUGCGUAGAUAUAGGAAGGAAUACCAGUGGCGAAGGCGGCCUCCUGGAUCGAUACUGACGCUGAGGCGCGAAAGCUAGGGGAGCAAACAGG